rnacentral:rRNA from 1 species
GACGAACGCUGGCGGCGUGCUUAACACAUGCAAGUCGAACGGAAAGGCCCUGCUUUUGUGGGGUGCUCGAGUGGCGAACGGGUGAGUAACACGUGAGUAACCUGCCCUUGACUUUGGGAUAACUUCAGGAAACUGGGGCUAAUACCGGAUAGGAGCUCCUGCUGCAUGGUGGGGGUUGGAAAGUUUCGGCGGUUGGGGAUGGACUCGCGGCUUAUCAGCUUGUUGGUGGGGUAGUGGCCUACCAAGGCUUUGACGGGUAGCCGGCCUGAGAGGGUGACCGGCCACAUUGGGACUGAGAUACGGCCCAGACUCCGACGGGAGGCAGCAGUGGGGAAUAUUGCACAAUGGGCGGAAGCCUGAUGCAGCAACGCCGCGUGCGGGAUGACGGCCUUCGGGUUGGAAACCGCUUUCGCCUGUGACGAAGCGUGAGUGACGGUAAUGGGUAAAGAAGCACCGGCUAACUACGUGC